rnacentral:rRNA from 1 species
CCUACGGGAGGCAGCAGUGAGGAAUAUUGGUCAAUGGGCGGAAGCCUGAACCAGCCAAGUAGCGUGCGGGAUGAAGGCCCUACGGGUCGUAAACCGCUUUUGCCCGGGGAUAACACCCUCCACUUGUGGCGGUCUGCAGGUACCGUGCGAAUAAGGGCCGGCUAAUUCCGUGCCAGCAGCCGCGGUAAUACGGAGGGCCCGAGCGUUAUCCGGAUUCAUUGGGCUUAAAGGGAGCGUAGGCGGUCGGUCAAGUCAGCGGUAAAAGCGCGCGGCUCAACCGCGCCCCGCAGUUGAAACUGGACGCCUUGAGGUCACGACAGGCAGGCGGAAUUCGUGGUGUAGCGGUGAAAUGCAUAGAUAUCGCGAGGAACCCCGAUUGCGAAGGCAGCCUGCCGGGGUGCGACUGACGCUGAGGCUCGAAGGUGCGGGUAUCAAACAGGAUUAGAUACCCUAGUAGUC